UAGGGAAUCUUCGGCAAUGGACGAAAGUCUGACCGAGCAACGCCGCGUGAGUGAAGAAGGUUUUCGGAUCGUAAAACUCUGUUGUUAGAGAAGAACAAGGACGUUAGUAACUGAACGUCCCCUGACGGUAUCUAACCAGAAAGCCACGGCUAACUACGUGCCAGCAGCCGCGGUAAUACGUAGGUGGCAAGCGUUGUCCGGAUUUAUUGGGCGUAAAGCGAGCGCAGGCGGUUUCUUAAGUCUGAUGUGAAAGCCCCCGGCUCAACCGGGGAGGGUCAUUGGAAACUUGGAGACUUGAGUGCAGAAGAGGAGAGUGUAAUUCCAUGUGUAGCGGUGAAAUGCGUAGAUAUAUGGAGGAAAACCAGUGGCGAAGGCGGCUCUCUGGUCUGUAACUGACUCUGAGGCUCGAAAGCGUGGGGAGCAAACAGG
rnacentral:rRNA from 1 species